CACUGCUGUGCUCGUAGCCGCGUUGCUUUCUCCACCCACCGUUCCUGUAGAUCUUGCGCACCUGCCGUAGCACGCCGUCGAAGAAGAGGGAGGGAACCAACGGAACAGAUACAUGAGCACAGCAGAGUGCCAAGCACUCGUGCUGCUGCUGAUGCAAGAGCAGGACCCACGCAGGAGCUCUUCGAAACAGCGUCAGCUAUCCUUCCAGACCCCCCCCCCCCCCCCCCGCCCGGCCGCACACAUACCUACCGACCUCUUGCUACGCUGAUACGCGUUGAACGCUUUCUUUAUCUUAUUCCCGUCGUACAUCGCUAUGCUAAGCAGAAUGCGGCGCACCAUGACAACCACGAAGGGGUUUCGCGCCCCACGGCCGAGAGGUAGCCACGAGCAACCCGCAGAGACGACUGUCUCGUCGACGAACUCAGCUGCACCACCGCCACCGCCGUCUGCGUCGUCGGCUCGCAAGGUGUCGGCACGCGGCUCAACAUUAGCGGUGCCUUCCCCAUCGCCGUCGUCAUCCUCCGCUUACUGUCGUAAGAGCCCUAGUCGCUGCAAAAAGGCAUCUACCAUCGCCGCUGCCACUGGUGACGCUGGCGCUGGCACCACUGCGUUCGACCCGAAGAGCGGCGGCUUGUCCUUCCCCCAGGGGCCACGUGGAGUGCUGAGCGGUCACUUCAGCGCUAAUCACCUGCGGCGCGCACCACGGCAGACCGACCAAGCUACACCGCGUGAUGGUGCGAGCAACACCGCGACCGCAAUGAGGGCACCAGCGGACACCACUACAGUUGCCACAGCAGUUGCGCAGCACACGGCGGCGCGCGCGAGCGGAGAUGACAGAGUCGUCGCGCUUAGCAGUAGUAACACGCCUCUGCUGCGCAAGCGGCCUCGCUCACUUUCUCCCGAUGAUCCCUACGCCGGUGGUGCACAUCAUCGUGAUGAGCCGGCAAGCACACGCGGUUGUGCGCCUUCCGCCAGCAGAGACAGCAACAGAGUCAAGAGCGACGACACCACACUGGUGCAGCUAUCCAUUCCACGGCUGCCCACUGCGCGGCGCCUUUCCACGUCGCGCAUCCGCCGCACCGUCUUCUACCCUCCCUCUGCGGAGCAGCCUCUGGCGCUCUUGCGGAGCUCACACGAUGCUGAUGGUGCCGGUGCCAUGGGUGCCCCUGAAUCCGCACCGGUGCCGCGUGUGUCAAGUGCGCCAGCGCCUGCGGACGUCUGCGUGGCCGCUGACUAUACCGUGCACGUGCAUCCUUGGGGCUCAGCGACCGCUGUGCCGGCGUGGACUGGCGCAAGCGACGCAGUCCCAGUGGCACCGGGUGCGGACGCUCUGAGGGUUCCUGGGGCUAACUCAGCGGUGUGUAUGGGCAGAGAGCCGCAUAGCAGCACCGCAGUGUCAGAGCAUCACAAGACUCCCUUGGCUGCGGCGAUGACCGCGUCGACGAUACUGUCACCAUCAACGCGAUCGGGAAAGCGGUUUCUUUCGGCAAUGGAGCAUGAGCAGCGCGACUACGCUGCAGCGAUCUCUCCUGCUCCUCCCUCGCUAACGUCAUCGUCGCUGCUGCCGCCGUACCGAUCGCCGUGCCACAGCGGUGCAUCUGAGCAGGUCUCGCCGGCUCCGCCUGCGGCGCCGAGCACACCAAAGGCCGCGCCAUCCACCCCUCCAUCACUACCCCUGCCGCUGCCGCCCUGCGACUCCACAUCUCCAUCGCCCGCGGUGCCGCAGCUCCGCGUGCAUGACUUGGCUGCACUGUCAUUGCCUUCGCUCAGUCGCGAGGCCUCGCUGCUCCCAAGCAACUCACGCCGUGGACUCUCUGUGCCGCUCUCUUCGCCGCGCCUCGAGCGCGCCGAAUCGCCACUAUCGCCGCUGUUGGCGGACAGUUCUCCGGCUCCCGCAAUCGGCUUGACGCGAGGGCAGGCGGGGGCUCUUGUCGCUGCUGCAGCUGCGGGAGGCGAGCGCCAGACACUGUCGUCUCUGGCGUCUCCGGCCCGCUCGGUGGGAGAGCUGGCGCGCGUUCAGCAGCAGCAGGCGUCGACGCACCCCUCUAGCGCACUCGCUGCUGCAGAGGAGGCCGAGAGAGAGGAAUGUGACGAGGCACUCGAGUGCGAGAUGGCAGAGGAUCUGCGCAUGUCGACGGACAUUGCUUUCACGCCGUCCGGCACCGGCAGCUGCGCACCGCCGCUCUUCUCGCAGUCGUCCAUGAUGCAAGAGGAAGAGAGGCAAGCGGAGGAGGAAGGCGGCGGCGAGGGGGCGACCUACAUCAUGAGAGACAGCGCCGUGGCGGUGGAGCGAGCUGACGACGAUAGUGAGCUGCGCUCUGGCCCAGGGAUGAGCGGUCAUGAGGGCAGCGCGCAACCACUCUUCCGCUUCCAAGAUGGCGCAGGUGACGUGCUCAUCUCUGGAUCAACGCCGCCUCCCUCCAUCGCGAUUCCAGCUGCGCUCAACGAACACGCUUUUCUCAGCGGCUGCAGCCACGGCGGUGGCACCGCUACAACCUAUUCGAGUACCACGCCCCCAGCGAGCUCGUUGGCAGUGCUGUCCAGCGCCUUCGCCCGCCUGCCGUCUGCACCGUCGACGUGGCCGAUCCGUGCGGCUACGCCGCCACAUCUUCCAUCGGUGCUCGCGCCUGGUACAGAGCUGUUGCCGCUCGGCGUUGUGACUGCUGCGGUCGCUGCUGAUGGGGGUGGAGGCCUGAGUGUUGGGAGGAUGGGCCCUGGACGUCAUCGCACCGUGUUUUCGUUCAGCUCGCUGCGCGUUGGCAACGCAACCGCCGCAGCGCUACCCGAUCCCUUCCCUGAGCCGCAGCUACGUCUGUGUCAACCAUCGGUGACGACGACAACAGACCAGGCAUGUGCUGGGAGCGCUCGAAAUGUGGCUGCCUCUGUGGCUGAGCCUGCUACUCCAGUCAGCUCGCCGCCCUCAGAAGCCUGUGCUACAACGUACCCACCUGAUCUGUGGCUGCCGUCGUUGCCGGCCGAGCACGUGAGCCCUCCGCGUGAUCCUCUGCUGAUGCGGGUGCCCAGUCAAGAUGGAAAGGCCGAGGGUUGCGCUGCUCACGGUGUUUCCCAAAUGGGCGUUGUGGCACCGACGCCGAUGUCGCCGGGGAGCGACGCGCUUUCCUCUGCGACUGGCGUCUCCGCGCUGUCGGCUGCAAACGCAGCGCCUCCGCUCUCCGACUUGUACGUCACCGCGCUGCCGUACCUUGCCGCGGCUGCUGCAGGUGGCAGCGGUGCACCUGCUGUGCCCGCACGCCCAGGCCGCACGUGCUUUACGCUGCACUCCGCUGCGCGAACGACAGGGACACUUUCUUCCUCUGCAGCCGCCACGUCAACAGUGGAGCCGACGGCAGCGGCGGCGGCUGCGUCGACCGGCGCGGUGCCACCGACACUGAGAGAGGUGAGCUAUCUCUCAGCCGAGAAGUGUUCCUUUGGGGGCGGCACAUCCGAACUGCAGCAGCUGCCAGGACACGGUGCUGUGCCACCGCAGGGAACAGAGGGACCGACGGCGUCUUUGGAUGGCGUCAGGUCAGCGACACCAAGGGCUACAAGGAAAGUGCCCAGCAGUAUGGAGAGCCGCCAUACGACUGGGUGUGCUCAGCAGGUCAUUGCCAACGCGCAGCCGGCGUUGCUGCGGCCCGUCGACUCAACACCUGCGACGGUGGUCAUGCACCGCACACCGUCGACUCUCACAAGUGAGGAGCCAGCGUGGAGUCGACGAAGCGCACCGUUCCCGCAACCGUGGCCGUUGCUCAACGACGGUUACCCGCCGGCCUUGCUCACAGUCGCUCCUGUAACGCCACUUGUGGGUUGCAUGGGCGCUGAAACGCCGACUGUGGCGGCGCCUCAGUCCGCGCAGGCACCGGUGGCCCAUGACGAGGCAGCGCAGCCCUACCCUCGAGAGAGUCGGGAGAUGGUCUCCUAUGCACCCCUUGCGCCGCCGCAGCCGCCGUCGCCUCCCCUCCCACGACCCGCUUGCACAGACGAUACUUGGGAGCUCUUCUACGAUCUGCCGCGUGAGGUCGGCCACUUCUACGCAACACGGCGCGGCGUCACGUCGCUGUACGACUGGCAGCACGACGUGCUCACCCGCCCCGAGGUUCGGCAGGGCGGCAACUUUGUCUACAGUCUCCCCACCAGCGGUGGCAAGACGCUGGUCGCCGAGUUGAGCCUCCUGCGGUGUGUGCUGAACCGCCGCAAGUCGUGCUUCCUCGUCCUGCCCUUUGUGUCGCUUGCGGAGGAGAAGACGAUGGCGCUGCAGCCGCUGACGACAGCGUAUGACUUCAACGUGGACGGCCAUUACGGCAGCUCCGGCCGCUUCCCGCUCUGCGGGGCGCCUGCAGUCUACGUCUGCACGAUCGAAAAGGCAAACUCGCUGCUGAAUCACAUGCUCGAGGAGGGCCGUGCCGACGAGAUCGGGGCGGUGGUGGUGGACGAGCUGCACAUGGUCGGCGAGUCCGGGCGAGGGGCGACGCUGGAGUUGUUUCUUUCCAAGGUACUCGUGAUCAACGCCGCGCGGCAGCGGAAGCGUGACGCCGUGGUUGCGCCGGCGACGCAGAGUCGCUGCAGUGCGAGUGGUUCGCGGCCAGGAUGGCCGGAGGAGUUGGAGGAUGCAGAGGAGGACCUCCGUGAGAGGACAGCCAUGACGGACACCACAAAGGCGGCUGCGGACCCCGGCCCUCUACAGAUCAUCGGCAUGAGCGCCACAGUCUCCAACCUCCGCACCCUAGCCGAGUGGCUGCGCGCCGCAUGCUUUGAGUACGACUUCCGGCCCGUGCCAUUGCACGCCUACAGUGUCGUUGGCGGCCUCGUGCUACGCGAUGGCCAGCGCAACGAGCGCAACCUCAGCGGCGGCUCUGUCACGCAGCAUCUUGUGGAGCUCGUGACGGAGGUGCCGGAUGCGUCCGUGCUCAUCUUCUGCGCCAGCCGCCAGCAGUGCGUCGACACGGCGAAGGGCAUCGUAAACUGCCUCAGGGCUCAAGCCAUUGCCGGCCAAAAAGCGCCGUCCGCGUGGGUGUCGGGUAGCAGCGAUGCGGCGGCGGAGGCACAGCACGUCUCCGUGCUUGGCGUACCGUUCCCGAGCUUAACAAGAGGGCCGGCCACAGCGGCUGCGAUGGCGGCGGUGCCGUCGCAGGCCUCGGCCGCCAUCAAAGGCCUCCUUGCGGACCUCGAGGCGCUCGCGCACCACGAAGCCUCGCAGCUCAGUGAGGUGAUUGCCUUCGGAGUAGCGUUUCACCACGGUGGCCUCCUUGCCGAGGAGCGAGACCUCAUCGAGACGGCGUUCCGCCGCAAACACAUCCGCAUCCUGUGCUGCACCUCUACGCUGGCCGCUGGCGUGAACCUGCCGGCGCGGCGGGUAAUCAUCAAAACGCCGUACGUGGGCCGCGAGUUUCUAACCAAGUCGCGCUACCUGCAGAUGUGCGGCCGUGCCGGGAGAGCCGGAUUGGACACGUACGGCGAGUCGUUCCUGCUGCUGAGCAGCCGUGAUCAGGCUCGCGGCCACGCCCUUAUGCACGCCGCGGUGGAGCCGUGCUGCAGCAAACUCCUCGAAGACGAUCAAACGCUCACCCGCUCGCUGCUGGAGUGCGUUGGGGUCGGGCUCGUGGCGGACUUCCAAAGCGCCUGCCAGUGGAGCGGCUCACUGCUGAGCAGGUGGGCGGUGGGUCCUGUGGACGUGUCGUGGCAGCCGCACAUCCCUGCAGCUGCCGCCCCGGCUGCGUCCGCGAGCACUGGAGUUGCGCCUCCCGGAGCGGCAGCGAAAGGCACAUGCGAAAGUGUCACCGGCCUCUUCCUCGCCUCCGAAGUCGGCUAUGACGGCGACGCCGCUGCCGCACAGGACUCCGAGAGCAGCCGGUCUGCGCCUGGCCCUCCGGCUUCACCGCCUUCCCACCCAACCUCGCCGACGUCGCCGUCUCUGACGUGCGUGCCGCCGGCUGCCAUGAACGCGAUGGUGCGCGCCUCGCUCGUUACACUAGCGCGCUGCGGCUUCAUCCGCGUUGCCUGUACACGCGCAGGCAGCGGCGGCAGCAACGGCGCCGGUGGCCGUGCUGCUGCUGGGGCUGCAGUCUGUAAGGACAGCGGUACCACAUCGAGCGUAGCUCUGGAGACGUUGCCGAGCGGCGUAUCGGACGACGCCCACGCAGACGCUUCAGCAGAGACGCACGACGCCUGCCAUGCGCAGGUGCAUGUGACAUCGUUUGGCAGCUCGUCUGUCCGCUCGUGCUUUAGUGUGGAGGAGGCGCUGCUGCUGCGCGCCGAGCUGGACGAGUUGCGCCACACCGGUCUCAUCCUGUCCGACGACCUGCACCUUUGCUACUUCCUCACGCCGCUGCGGGAGGUGGGAAAGUGCGACUGGGAGCUGCUGCGGCUCAUGAUGUCGCGCAUGAGCGACAGCCGCCAGCGCAUCGCGAGCCUGCUUGGGGUCGAUGCCUACUUUGUCGAUCAGCAGGCGAUGGGGCUCGGCGGUCCACUGCAGGCCACAGAGGAGGGUCGACGGCGCCUCUUCACGGCAAGGAGGUUCUACGUGGCACUUAUGCUGGCGGAUGUGUUGGCUGAGGUGCCGAUGGCGACGGUGGAGCAGCGGUAUAACGUGAGCCGCGGGCAGCUGCAGAAUCUGAUGCGCUCCGCCUCGAUGUUCAGCAGCUCCAUCACGAGCUUCUGUCAUGCGAUGGAGUGGUUCUCGCUGGAGGCGGUGCUCUCUUCCUUCGUCAAGCGACUCGGCUUCGGUGUGAAGCCGGACUUGCUGCCGCUAAUGGAGAUACGUGGCAUGCAGCCGCCGCGGGCGAGGGCGCUGUGGAACGCCGGCUUCAAGAAGGUCGCAGCGAUCGCGGCAGCCGACGCGGAUGAUAUGGUGUCGAAGGUGAAGUUGAUGAACCCAAAGGACAGCAAGGCAGCGAAGUUUUUUACGAAACGCUCAGCGUUGAUGGCGAUCCGGGAGGCAAACCUCGCCCUACAGUCUCAGAUCAAGGAGAAGAAGGGCGAGCUGCAGGAACUGACGGUUUGUUGCGGCGGUGGUGGCGGCGUUCGCGGUGUGCGCUGAAGCUGAAGGAGAGCACUCAGAAGGCGGAGACGGAACGGGAUAGCCUUGUGAACGCUCAGCUUCGACCAGAGGUAGUAGGGUGUGCUUGGGAGGGAGGGUGGGGGCCGUGUGGACCCGUGCGCACCCCAUGUACGUGCCUUGUCAACAGCAUCACUGCCGCCGGUGUCGUUAUGCCGACUCUCAGACGCGCUGCCUGCUUCCUUUGUUUAUCGUUGCGUGUCUCUCCAAAACGAAAACAGAAACGCUGGCGUGGGCGCCACUCCUCCUCUCCCACUGUGUGUGUGUGCGUGUGCGUGCAUCCGCCAGAGACGUGAGGAAGUGGAAGAGCGCAGCGCGUGAGACUGCUCUGGCCUGUGAGGCGACAGCACAACAGCCUCUGCACCUCUUUCUCUCUCUCUCACCUUCGCUGUGACGUUCUCAAAGCGGGGGUGCACCAGCACGUGACGAUCCGAGCGCGCUUGCGCACCUCCGCACCCGACACCUCACAGACGCUUCCACAUCUGUCUUUCGCUCAUGGCACUCCCGAGUGUGUCUGGCGGCCCGGUGGCUUGAUUUGCUUCCUCGACUCCAAAUCAAGGCGGAUGGCGCACCUCUCCCCCGCCGACGCCGCACGUGGCGCUGUCCUGCCGCUCUUCUUCGCUUGCUCUUCUCCUGGACGCCGCCCAUUCUCCUCUUCUACGUUCGAACACUUGCCCAUACCCGUGCAG
rnacentral:misc_RNA from 1 species